UUAUUUAUGACUGUAGGUUCAGUUUCUGGGAGAGUAUCUGUACUUUUCUUGUCAUCGUCAGAACCAUCAUCAUCAGAUCCAUCAUUAUCAGAUCCUUCAUCAUCUGGUUCCUCAUCAUCUUGACUGCCCUUCAAUCAAAGGGCCAAUUUUACAUUCAACUAUACAGAAGUGGCCCAAGGCAAGUGUAUGAGCCCAGUGGGAAUAGAUGAUAAUGAAUGCAAAUAAACAAUUAGAUUGGAGAUUUCCUACCAUGGAAGGCAUUUUAGGUAGCUUUGCUUGGGAGCAUUGUAGUGAGAAUUCCUCAUCUGAAGAGCCAGCCUUGAAGAACACAAAAACAAAUUUAAUUGCAAGUUGCUUCAAAGAUAACCAUCACAAUUUAGGUACUGUAUUGUAUUUUAGUUCUUCACAGUAGACAAAGUAGUAAAUAAAUAAUCAAAUAAAAAAUAAUAAUAAUUAUCAAACUAUGAAGCAUGUUGAACAGUGUACAUACCCUAGAAGAACUUGGUGUUCUAGGAGACCAGGAAUCUGGAGGGCUUGUUCUCUGGAGAAAAUAAAAUCACUCAUAUUCAUACCUUUCCAAAAAAUCAGAACCAAAAGGAUUCCUUUUAAAUAGCAAGGUUUAUCCAUAAACUGGCAAGAAAGUCAGAAAGAAAAAUAAUAAUUCUGAUUAUCAUGCAGUUCACAACAUUCCUCAGUGCAGUGACAUGCUUUUAUUAGGUCUUACCAUUCAAAGCAACCUAAAGUUCAGCUUGCACGUCAAAAGCAAAUUAAUUAAAGCCAACAAAUGUCUCCAUAUUCUUAGGACCCUUAGGAAAGAACAGUAUAGUCAACUAGAAAUAGACCAUUUAUUCUUCUCUCUGGUGUUGCCAUGUAUCACUUACGGCUUAUCCGUUUACGGGGCCUGCGACUCAGAUCUAACGACUAUUCAGACAUUCUUAGAUAGGUGUCAUAAACGUCGGUUCGUAUCAACACCUGUUAGCAUAGAAAAAUACUCGCCAAGCAAGACUGUAAGCUGUAUGAAAAAGCUGCAGCCAUUCCGAACCACCCUUUACGUUGCUACUUACCCGCUAUUAAAGAAACCAAAUACAAUCUUCGUGGUACGCGCUAUAUUACACCAAAUGUAAAAACUGAACGCUUUAAGAACACUUAUAUCAACAGAAUUGCUUUCAAAUAUCUUAUGUAACUUAGUAGCUAGUUUUUAAUUUUUCAGCAUUAUUUGUAACAUAGGAGAUGUAUUUUUAUCCUUUGAUAAUAAAGAUUAUUAUUAUUAUUAAUACAUUUGCACCAUACUUACUUUUCUUUCACGCCGCUGUUCACUGAAAAAAUCCUUAGUGUGUUGCAUAAUGCCAUCCACUGUGAAAUUUAUUUCAGGCACAGAACACUGGUCUUCAAUUUCUUUAGCAAACUUUUCCAGUUGUGUUCUCAUCAUGGGAGUGUUGAACUUCGGGAGUUGCCCACCCCACUUUUCCAUGGCAAGUGCGCCAAUCUUCUUGCGCCUAAACAUCAAUCAAAUUAAUAAGGCUAAAUGUGUUGCAUAAAUGAAGUUUACUAAACAAUGCCAGAAAAAGGUGUUGCAUGAUAAAAUAAUGUAAAAUAAAUGCGCCACAAUAUGAAUUGAACAUCAGCAUUUUGAAAAAAUGUAUAAAUCAAUUUACUUCAAAGGACAUUCAUCUAUAUCCAAUAUCAAAACACACUCACUUAGACAGGUACAGUCUUUGUAUUUCAGGAUCGUAUGUUGACAACUCUGCCAUUGUUGGUUUGCACUUGGGCAAGGCUGAUGAAGAUUUCUUUGGCAAUUGGAACGACUCCUCAAAAAUCCUUUUGAAUUUUAGGGCCUUUCCAUAGGUUAAGCCAACCUUUGAGUAAAUUGGCGCAUCAGCAUCUUUAGAUAGCAAGUCUACUAUUGCUUCUGGGCAUGUAAUAUCUUCAUCUGCAGCCAAACAGAAGAAGAAUGGAUUCAAUAUUUGCAUGCAAAAGAUACAUUUGAAAAAAGUUUUAUUGAUCUAUUCUGUUGUUUUGUCGUUUCAAUUUCUCUGCGAACCAAAGCUGCGUUUUAUCUCUCUGACUUAUUUAUAUUUUUGUUGUUCAGCAUUAUAAAAUUAACCUCUACACAGAAAUACCACAUUUCCAGUUAAAAGCCAUGCUUUCUCGAUGCGAUUUUGUGAAGGCCUAUGUCGACGGGUUCCUCGCGCCAUUUUCUUGCACAUGUGAGAAUGAGAAAUUUCGUGCAGAGGCUACUUUUGCAAAGUCGAAAAA